AAUCUCAGCAUUCCACCAAGACAAUCUCCAAAAAAGGAAAAGCAAAUGAGCAGGGCUGUUUCUGAGGAUAUGAAAUACUUUACAAUUAAAUAAGGAAGAAGAGGAAACAUUCCAGACAGAAGCAAUCUCUUACUGCAAGAGAAUAAGAAGUAAUAAGAAUUUUCAUCAUUUGAAAUGCAGCCAUGUGGCAAUUUUAUCCAUCCAGAACAACUGACAUACAGUAAAUACUUAACAUGUAGCAGAUUCUGCUGUGUUUUUUGAUGUCUUGUUAUAUUAAAUCUCUUCAACCACACUAUGAGAUUCCAUUCCCUUACCUGUGAAGUGCGGAUGGUUGUGUGGUUGCUGAGGUGCUGUCCAGCUUGGACAUCGAGGAAUUGUAUGAGCACCUUUGAUUGCCUUGCAUGCAGAAACAACUCUGAACCCAGCAGUGUUACUUAGAUUUCACAGAAAAGGGAGGCAGAGAGGAAGAUGUUAGUCAGGACAAGACCAGAACAAAACAAGCGGCCCUAUGUCUAAGUGUUGCUGACCACACUCCAGAAGCCAGAAUUUCUGCAAACUGAUCUUCAGCCCCAGUUCCAUACCCACAGACAUGGACUCCAUAUCCUCAGCAAAGCACAAGAGGGGAAUAAUAAUAGCUCUGUCACAUUUAAUCUUCAAAGCAAAACUUUCUCCAUUUAGAAAAUGAGAAAAUUUCAACUCAGGGAGUUUCAGAAACUUUCCCAGGGUAUCGCAGCUGAAAAACAGUAGAGCCAGCAUUUGAACUCAGGCUGCCGGACUCCUUUACUGUGUGUUCGAAUCCACGCAGUGCUGCAAGACUUGACUAACUCACCCUGUACACCCAUAACUGUCAGACAUCAGAGUCCAUUAAGAAGCUGGGAAUCAAUUAAUUAACAAUUGAUUAGAACUGUUACAAUGUAUUUAGGAUGCAUUUCUGUAUAGGGCUGAGCAUACAGAAAUUAGCCAGAUGUGGUACUUGGUUUCCAGGAACUAUUUACAGUAAAAAAGCAAACACUUAUGAAAUGCUUAUGAUGUUUUACAUGUAUUAAUUUUUUAAACUAAUUGAACAACUCUGUGAGAGAGACAGUAUUAUGUCCCAAUUUUGGAAGAUGAGGAAACUAAGAGGUUAAUAACUUGCUCAAAGUCACAAAGCUGGUAAUCAAACCCAUGCUGGCUGGCUUCAGAGUCAUACUCUUCACUGCCACACUGUGCUGCCUACACUUCCUCAACUCAGUGCAAAUGUGCAAGUGUUCUGAGCCAUGUGACCAGGGACCUAUGCUGGCAAUCUUCAGGCAAUGCCCUGGGACUGUGUUGUGGAGAGAAGCCAUGGAACAGCUGUGAACACUGCCGGGCAGAAUAACAUGGACAGGUAGAAAGCCUGGAAUAUAAAUAAUUCUGAGAAGGCAAGAAGGUCAGAGGAGGAAGUGGAGG
rnacentral:lncRNA from 1 species